GCGGAGGGUCGGAUGAUCGCCUGUGGCGCAGCCUUCGGGCCACGCUGCGGGAGGAAAGUCCGGACUCCACAAAAGCAAGGGUGCCGGGUAACGCCCGGCCGGGGUAACCCGAGGGAUAGCGCCACAGAAAACAGACAGCCCCGUUCAGGCGGGGCAAUGGUGAAACGGUGGGGUAAGGCCCACCGCGGGACGGGCAACCGCCCCGGCAUGGCAAGCCCCACCCGGAGCAAUGCCAAAUAGGGACCCCGCGCCUGAUGCCUGCAAAGGCAGAAGGCAGGGCGGCUUUGGCCCCAGGAGGUCCGGGUUGGCAGCUAGAUCGCAGUGGUAACGCUGCGGCCAGAGGAAUGGUCAUCGACUGUCGGGGCAACCCGGCAGGAACAGAAUCCGGCUUACAGACCCUCCGCGCGC
rnacentral:RNase_P_RNA from 1 species